CGGGUUGGGGUCCGCCCGUCAUACCUUGUCUCUGCCGCUCCUUCCUCCUCAGGGGGAAGAGGACUCCUCCUCACUCGGCCCUGCUCCACUGUGGGGUCCCUCCCGCGGGAGACAGUCCUUCACGAACCUCUCCAGGAACAAGAUCUAAGCCUAGCCUUCAGUGUGGUUUUGCUUGUGCUCCAAGGAGGGACAUGCAGAGGCACUUGAAAUUUUGAAUGUCCAGUAUUAAGAAGAAAACAGGACAUAAGGAAGUCACGAUGCAUUACUGCUUCAGGGGUGAAAGAACAAGCUGAUUAGUAACCCACUGAUUUUCAGGUAAAUCUUUGUGAGGUAUAUUUCCCUGAACAAAUUCUGUUAGAAUUUGCUUCAAGUAAAUUGCACAUCUGCACAUCAGAAAACAAA